AUUGAACGCUGGCGGCAGGCCUAACACAUGCAAGUCGAGCGGAGCGGCGGACGGGUGAGUAAUGCCUAGGAAUCUGCCUGUUCGUGGGGGAUAACGUCAGGCAACGGGCGCUCAUACCGCUUACUCUCAGAUGAGCCUAGGUCGGAUUAGCUAGUUGGUGGGGGAAAGGCCUACCAAGGCGACGAUCCGUAACUGGUCUGAGAGGAUGAUCAUUCACACUGGAACUGAGACACGGUCCAGACUCCUACGGGAGGCAGCAGUGGGGAAUAUUGGACAAGGGGCGAAAGCCUGAGCCAGCCAUGCCGCGUGUGGGAAGAAGGUCUUCGGAUUGUAAAGCACUUUAAGUUGGGAGGCGUUACCAACAGAAUAAGCACCGGCUAACUUCGUGCCAGCAGCCGCGGUAAUAC
rnacentral:rRNA from 1 species